rnacentral:rRNA from 1 species
GGUAUUGUAAUAAGAUUUUAAUUGAAUGCUAAGAGAAUGGAACUUCAGGGAAUGACUUUUUUAAAUUUAAAAAUUAAAAUUAUUUUAAUUUGUGAAGAAACAAUUAUAUAAAUUAAAGACAAGAAGACCCUAAGAAUUUUUAAAUUUGUAUUUAAAAAUUUUUAAAUACAAAUUUUUAGUUGGGGCAACUAAAAAAUAUUAGUAACUUUUUUAAAAUAAAAUGACCCAUUAUUAAUGAUUAUAUGAAAAAAAUACUCUAGGGAUAACAGCGUAAUAAUUUUUGAUAGAUCGUAUAGACAAAAUAGUUUGCGACCUCGAUGUUGGAUUAGGAUACUUUUUUAAUGAAGAUGUUAAAAAAAGAAGUUUGUUCAACUUUUAAAUUCCUACUUGAUCU